GAUGAAGAACGCAGCGAAAUGCGAUAAGUAAUGUGAAUUGGAGAAUUCAGUGAAUCAUCGAAUCUUUGAACGCACAUUGCGCCCGCCAGUAUUCUGGCGGGCAUGCCUGUUCGAGCGUCAUUACAACCCUCAGGCCCCCGGGCCUGGCGUUGGGGAUCGGCGGAGCCCCCCGUGGGCACACGCCGUCCCCCAAAUGCAGUGGCGGUCCCGCCGCAGCUUCCAUCGCGUAGUAGCUAACACCUCGCGACUGGAGAGCGGCGCGGCCACGCCGUAAAACACCCAACUCUUCUGAAGUUGACCUCGAAUCAGGUAGGAAUACCCGCUGAACUUAAGCAUAUCAAUAAGCGGAGGA
rnacentral:misc_RNA from 1 species